CUACGGGGGGCAGCAGCAGGGAAUAUUGCACAAUGGACGGAAGUCUGAUGCAGCGACGCCGCGUGGAUGAUGAAGGCCUUCGGGUUGUAAAAUCCUUUUCAGGGAGAAGAGGAAGGACGGUAUCCCUGGAAUAAGCGUCGGCUAACUACGUGCCAGCAGCCGCGGUAAUACGUAGGACGCAAGCGUUAUCCGGAUUUACUGGGCGUAAAGCGUCUGUAGGCGGUUUAGUAAGUUUGAUGUGAAAGCUCCAGGCUCAACUUGGAGAGUGCAUUGAAUACUGCUAGACUUGAGGGGAUCAGAGGAAAGCGGAAUUUCCGGUGUAGCGGUAAAAUGCGCAGAUAUCGGAAAGAACACCAGUGGCGAAGGCGGCUUUCUGGGAUCAACCUGACGCUGAGAGACGAAAGCUAGGGUAGCGAACAGGAUUAGAUACCCUGGUAGUC
rnacentral:rRNA from 1 species